CGGGAUGUGGCUCAGUUUGGUAGAGCGCUGCGUUCGGGACGCAGAGGUCGUGGGUUCGAAUCCCGCCAUCCCGACCA
rnacentral:tRNA from 1 species